AGCGAACGCUGGCGGCAGGCCUAACACAUGCAAGUCGAACGAACUCUUCGGAGUUAGUGGCGGACGGGUGAGUAACACGUGGGAACGUGCCCUUUGGUACGGAAUAACUCAGGGAAACUUGAGCUAAUACCGUAUGUGCCCUUCGGGGGAAAGAUUUAUCGCCAUUGGAGCGGCCCGCGUCUGAUUAGCUAGUUGGUGAGGUAAAGGCUCACCAAGGCUACGAUCAGUAGCUGGUCUGAGAGGAUGAUCAGCCACAUUGGGACUGAGACACGGCCCAAACACCUACGGGAGGCAGCAGUGGGGAAUCUUGCGCAAUGGGCGAAAGCCUGACGCAGCCAUGCCGCGUGAAUGAUGAAGGUCUUAGGAUUGUAAAAUUCUUUCACCGGGGACGAUAAUGACGGUACCCGGAGAAGAAGCCCCGGCUAACUUCGUG
rnacentral:rRNA from 1 species